rfam:Alligator sinensis unplaced genomic scaffold scaffold802_1, whole genome shotgun sequence
GUCCAGCUAGCUCAGUUACUAGAGCAUAAGAUUCUUAAUCUUAUGGUUGUGGGUUUGAGCCCCAUGUUGCGUG